AAACAAUGAUGAAGUCCAAGAGAAUCUUCCUCUCUGUGCUCUAUCUCCUGCUAUACAGCAGUUUCUCAACUGCCAAUCUCAAUCCAGUUGUUGUAACUCAAGUGGAAAAAGGGAUAAACACCAAUGUCAAACUAUUAGAAGGUCUUGGUGCACUGGGAAAGUUGACUGUAGAAGAAGAUGCAAAGACAAUCCAAAAAGUCUUGGAAGUCUUUAAAAAGCUGGGAAAGAUUGCAUAUGCUCUAGGUUUUGUUGGGGCAUUGGUGGGUUUUAUCCUUGCUUUUAUCCCCCAAGAAAAUCCCACUUUAAAGUUCAUGAAGGUCCAGUUUUCAGAGGUCAACAGGAAACUGGACUCCAUCUCACUCCAAAUAAACUCUCUGGCAGAAGAAAUGGAAUGGACAGCGUAUGCCAGUGUCUAUUCCAAUGAUGAGAACAACAUCAAGAACUCCUGGACCAAACUGAGAGAGUUCAUAGACAGUGCCUCUGCAGCACAAACGGAAAAAGAGAAGACCAGAUUAUCUGAAAGAUUCAUCACUUUCUACGAGAAUACUGGAACAGAGAGCAGCGUUCAUAACUUUCAUGGGUACCUGACUGAGAGCAACCCAGCCAGUCUAAAUAAGAACCUUUUGAUACUUGUCAUUCAAAAGUCUAAAGGGGAUUUUAAGACCCUUGUGCAAUUCACUGCAUAUUUUACUUCCCUGAUGGUCACUGGAUUGCAACUGAAUCUUUAUUAUUAUGCAUUAAAGGGCUAUGAUGGUAAGAAUAAAGUGAGAGAGGCAGUCACACAGUUAACUAAUGUUCACACGAAGAUACAGGAUGUCUUGAUUGAUUGUGCUGACAACUUUGAGAUUUGGGCAGAGAAGGAUGUGCAGCAAAUUGGAACAAAGCCUUUGCCAGACAAUACGCAUCUUGCAUUCACUGUCAAGGAGCACUUGGACAAGAAGUUCAACUGGUAUGAGUGGACAGUCAUUGUGCAUGAUAAAAAAGAUGAAGAAGAGAGGACCUACGGAAACUCUAUUAAAGUUAUCGCUCAAGACAAAGUAGUAAUACACCUCCUACACAGGGAAAAAGGGUUCACUGUACAUCGCGGCAUGAAAGCUCAAAUGGAACGGGAGUGGAAUAGCAAAGGAAGGCUCUGUCAGGACAAAAUAUCCCAGUGGCCCAUUAUUUUUCAAAGGACAACAAUGAAAUAUAUAGAAUACAUUCAUGAACGAUCCGAUUAUGCUCAAACAAUUGAUAAUGAGCUUGUGAAACUAAAAUGUAGCCCUAUUGAAACUUUAGUUUAUGAAACAUAUACAGUCUAUUUAAAGAGUCAGAAACUUGUUGAAAAUCAUCCUUGCUCUGAUGUGAACUGUAACAAAGGUGAGUGUAGACCAAUCAAAGACACAUCAAGCAGAAUCUGUAAGUGUGAGAAAAUGUUCUACGGUCCAAACUGUCAGGGAAGUAUUCAGGAUGACAUUGACUAUGCAACCAUGGAGAGUGAACUCAUUGGUAUCUCUUACCAACCUGUACCAGACUUGACUACUAUUUAUUUUCAUGUUAAGGAAAUGAAAGAAUAUGUAGGAGCUCUGUUUAACACCCUACAGCAAGACAUCCAGUGGGCACAAAUAUUCAUUAAGUACAUUGAUGUGAUUGAUAAAUUCAGAUAUUUGGCAAAAGUGCACAAUUUCCUUAAAAAUGAAACAAUGUCUCAGGAUCAAUUUGUCUCUGAGGUUGAAUCCCUUUUUACCAAAGGAAACACAUUCCUUUACAUGAUGCACAAGUGUGAUCUAAUGAUGCAAGGGACAGGCUUUGGAGAUAAAUCCAAUAUCCUGGACCUUUUUCGACAAUCUCUGCUCACAGAACCACUAAAUCAAGAUGAUAAGAGUCAAUCAAAUCCUAGGACAGCAUGCUCUAAAUCCUACAGUGAGAGAGUUGAUUAUUUUGUUCGCAUUAUGUUUGCUAUGGAGCAGGAAGCCGUCUUAGGAUGGCAGAGGUAUUUGCUGAUCAAGCAUGAGUCACAAAAGGUGGUGACUCCAGAAGCACUGCAGUACGGCCCUACAGCUGUAAAGAAAAUGAUACGAGCACGUGCACUUAUGAGGUCUGAUGAAUACCUCAAAAGUGUGUUUAAACAUUAUGUAUCUGAGCAGUGGAGCCUGUUCAACAGGAACGGCUGUGGCUUGCUCAAGGCAGAGCUCCUGUCCAACACUUACUGUGAGAAGCCCCAUCACAGCACAGACCAGCAGGAGGUCCCACUGACAUGCCAAAAGGAUUACCAGCCCUUUCCAAAGACAGUGCAGUGUUCUAAAAAACAAUGGAGUGCCCUGCCUGUGUGCUACACUCACCCUAAGAGGGGAAGCACCACCUGCAAGUCUGAGAAUGGAACUACGGUCUGUACAGCCUCCUGUUCUAGUGGUUGGACCACUGAUGACAGACAGACCAGUGACACCUACCGAUGCACCAAGCAGCCCUGUCCAUCAUUCACUCCCAGAGCUUGUAACAGAUGCAACAUGGACAGUGCGUGUGGAGGCAGCGAAGUGUGCCGCAAUGCUAUAUGUGUGGAUGGAUGCAGUGUCUUUCCCUGUGGGCUAAAUGCACGGUGUUCCACCACAAACCAUAUCCAGCGCUGCACCUGCGUGAGUCCUUCUGUGGAAUGGACAUGAUGCACAGUCACAUGGAUGCCGUUACCAAAACCUGAGAUGGGUACCUCGUACAUCCUUGGAUGGCAUACCACAAAAUACCGUGACGUCUAAGACGGGACGCCAUGUUUGUCGAGCUAAAGGCCCAGAUGGCGGAUGGCAUGGAGGAUGGAUCUGGAUUCAUAAUGUCAACACCUGCAAUUAUGAAUAUGGUUGGUCUGAAAAGAGGGCUACCAGUUUUGAGGUGCUGGUGGACCCCUGUGGUGGCAGUGGAGUUCAGUGGUUGAGUGGCGGGAUGAACUCCAACCCCGUUGAGAUUGGCCAGGCUGUUGGAUGGCCCUGGAUCACUUUCCUGGUGUGCAGCCGGAAGAGCAAUGGCAUUCCAGGGAAACUUUUUAACACUCGAAGUGGACUGCUGUGUCACUAUGGGUUUGAAAACCGGGGUAACCGUGAUGGCAAUUUCUACACUCUUGUGAAAAAACGAUGUAUUUAGACUCAUCGAAUCCUGAUGGGGAAAAUGCAAGCAUGUUUUAUCUUUCAACAAUCACUCACUUCUAUACUUUUAAAAAAAUGUUAUUGAGUCUGAUCAACAUAAAACAUAGAAUAGACAUUUAUCUCUUGUCAAUUAAGAAAGCCUUUGCUUUAAAUGGAACCAUCUCUCUCUCAUAUACACAUCUGUCACAUGUAAAUCUAUCAAAUAUGAUGUAUAUGAAGGAUCAGUGACGUGUGGCAAAUUCACUGCUUGCUUUUUUUUUGGCAUCUUUCUGCA